rnacentral:lncRNA from 1 species
CACUUACUUAGCUGAAAAAUAUUUACAAAAAAAUUGAUGGGCCUAAUAUAGAUCAUGGAACCCAAGAGUUAAUCUGAGUUUUCAUUACCUAACAGUAGUUAUAGUGAUAGAAAAAAAAAAAAAAAAAAACACAGUAGAGACAAAUAUAAUCCCCUGGAUCGGUAUUAACAUUCAAGAAAAACAAACUUAGCAUUCUCGAAAAUCAAGUAUCAACGCGAGAAAAAACUGAAAGGGAUUCGUGUGAGAGUUAUACGACUCGAAACGAACAGCAACGCUAGCAUUAAUAUCCGAUAAAGUUUAAACAAAAAACUAAUCCAUCCAAACACCAUCCUUAACUUGAAUUCAACAUCAACUUUCUUAGGGUAGUAGAUACAUAACCGCAACAAAAAGGUUAAUCCUGCUAGUUUCCAGAACCCGUGAUUUCAAUGAAUUUGAAAAUUGAAAAUGAAAUCAUAACAGCACACAAACACAGCUCAUUCAAGACAUCAUGUAAAUUAAAGUAGCUAUCCUAUAAUAACGAAUUGGAAACCAUAGUAACAACAGAUACACAGUAAAGCUUCUCCAAAUAUACCCAACAACUCUCAAUAACCAAGCUUAUGGCAAAUGACAUUGAACUUCUA